AUGCUAGGCAAUGUGGUGUUAAGGCUUGUACCUGGGAUCGUGUCCCUACCCGAAGUCUAAAUCCGAUUGUGGCUUUGGAUUCAUUCCAUAGCGGGUGAAAGUCCCGUGCGGGUAGGACUAUUGCAAAUCCACACGGUCCUCAGAUGUGCAUGCUUUCGAGUCGGAUUGCUUGAGAAUGCAGUCCCAAAGUGGGUGGUAAACUCCAUCCAAGGCUAAAUACUGGCACGAGUCCGAUAGUAGACAAGUACCGUGAGGGAAAGUUGAAAAGUACUCUGAAGAGAGAGUAAAUAGUACGUGAAGCCGAUUGCAGGGAAGCUGGUGGAGUCAAGCUUCGUGCUUGAGGGAUUGAUGCUGGGAGCAGGUGUGUGAUUUGGAUGUGAGGAUGGUCAACUUGGAAUAAGUUGGGCGUGUUCUGAAUGCGCUUCAAGUCAUUCCGGGUAGAGUGUUAUGAGCCGUCCUUGCUUUCCUACUCUCAGUGUUGUAUUCCUUGCUGCACAGGCCACAGUCAAUAGGUGCGCGCAGUGUGAUGGCCUAACUGUGCUUCGGUGGGUGCAAACUCUCCGGGUGCAGGAUGGCAGGUGCUGUCUUCAGUCCUUGUGGCUGUUGAUAGUUGUUGUGGUUUUGACCGGCUGGUCUUCAUACUGUGUUGUGCUUAUUGCC
rnacentral:rRNA from 1 species